rnacentral:lncRNA from 1 species
GACUUUUGGGACAGUCAUAUACAAAGUCCUUCUCAAAUAUGAAAGGGUCAUAUAAAUGUUCACUUUCAUUAUUAUUGGCUGUGGAUCAACUAUGAUGUUGAGGAAAGCUUGAAUGUGAAGAACUGCAUGACCAAAGAUUUCUUCAGAUCUAUCCAUGAGCCUCAGGUUAAGAACCCUGGAAGUCUUACCUAAAGCUCCAUCCAAUUGAUUCUGUGGCUUGUUCAGGAGAAAAAAUAUACAAGAAUUUUGCAUGAAUUAGGUUCCAGAAAAAGUUAUAACGGGAAUAAAAAUAAACCAGUA